GCUGGGUGCAGUGGCGUACGCCUGUAAUCCCAGCAACUCUGGAGGCUGAGGCAGGAGGAUCACAGGUUCAAAGCCAGCCUCAGCAACUUAGCAAGGCUAUAAACAACCUAGAGAGACCCUGCCUCUA
rnacentral:sRNA from 1 species